rnacentral:misc_RNA from 1 species
UGGUUCUGGCAUCGAUGAAGAACGCAGCGAAAUGCGAUAAGUAAUGUGAAUUGCAGAAUUUAGUGAAUCAUCGAAUCUUUGAACGCACAUUGCGCCCUCUGGUAUUCCGGGGGGCAUGCCUGUUCGAGCGUCAUUACAACCCUCAAGCUCUGCUUGGUAUUAGGCCUCGCCUGCUAAGGCGGACCGUAAAAUCACUGGCGGUGCUAGUAGGCUUCAAGCGUAGUAAACAUUCUCGCUGUGGAGGACCUGCUAAGUGCCUGCCAAAAACCUCAUACAUGUUGACCUCGGAUCAGGUAGGGAUACCCGCUGA